GGAUUAGAUACCCUGGUAGUCCACGCCGUAAACGAUGUGUGCUAGCCGUUGGGAAACCUAGUUUCUCAGUGGCGCCGCUAACGCUUUAAGCACACCGCCUGGGGAGUACGGUCGCAAGAUUAAAACUCAAAGGAAUUGACGGGGGCCCGCACAAGCGGUGGAGCAUGUGGUUUAAUUCGACGCAACGCGCAGAACCUUACCAGCCCUUGACAUGAUAGUUUCGAUUUCCAGAGAUGGAUCUCUCGGUUCGGCCGGACUAUUACAGGUGCUGCAUGGCUGUCGUCAGCUCGUGUUG
rnacentral:rRNA from 1 species